rnacentral:lncRNA from 1 species
UAAAACAAAAUCACAGCAGUGUAUAUACGCACACAUUCAGUUCACCUUCAUUGGCAGCCAAAUCCCCCAAGUCCGUAAUGCUGCCAUCACCGUCUGCCUCGCCUGAGCAUGCUGCACGUUGCAUGCAUCGUUGUCGUCGAAGCCUUGCUUGAGCAUGCUGCAUGCAUCAUUUGUCUUAAAGCCUUGCCUGCGUUGAGUCGUCUACCUCAUCUCGCUUGAGCUGAGCAUGUUGCACACGCUUGCCCUUGCCCAUUCGCUCCGUCGUUAGUUGCUAAAUAACUGGCUUGCCGGUGGCCACUUCCUCGCUGCUCAAUUGUCGUUGGUAACAAAAAGGUAAAAUCAUUCUUUGUUUUAUAUCAAUUUUUAGUGAACUAAUUUGUGGACUUUAGCCAUGCGAAUUAAUUUCCAGUGGAUUAAGAUGUAUAAGCAUAAAUGCAUAAUUAACUUUGUAAUCUUCCUUAACUUUGAAAAAUAUGUUAAGAAACUAAAAAGAUAAUAAUAAUAAUUAUUAUUAGGUAAAUGAGAAUAUUAUAAUGAAUUGGUUUACUUAGGUUAUUUUUCAUAUCUCUUUUUUUUUUCACAUAUGCUAACUCACUUUACAACUCACUUUAAUUAGGUUUUGGGAUAUUGAACAUGGCUGAAGAGGAACAAGGAAACAAUUUUACAUUUUCUUUGAAUAGUGUUAAUAAUAUGGAUGUUAGAUUAGAGGAUGUCCGCGAACCUGAAAUGACAAUGUUGUCGAAGUUGAACUGGAUUUAACAGUUAUAGAAUAUGGUAUUGGUCGUGGCCGUGUGCGUGGUGUUAAAGAAAGAGUAGGUAAUGAGAGUGAAGGCAUAGCGAAAGGGUCUGCAUUAGCACAAUCUAGCGGUUGUAAGCUAACUUCUGAUGUAUAGAAUCAUUUCAAGAGGUACAAGGACGUGGAAGGGCAGCGUUUGGGAGUUUGCAACUAUUGUAAUAAAGUUUUGACAAGACAUUAUUAUGGUAGGACUAGGCACUUAAAAAAUUAUUUUACAAGUUGUUUGAGAAAGAAUUUCAAGCAUGUUAGCCAAAUGCUUCUUGCUAAGAAAUAUGAUGGAUCCGUUGCAGUUGAAAGUUGUUCUGAAAUAAAAUGUGAUAUGUCG